AGACAAUGAAAUUAAUUGCUGUCCAAAUUACCACGAAGUCGACAACAACUGUGUGGUGUGUCCAGCAGGAAGAUGGGGGGAUAACUGUUCGCUCGUUUGCCCCAUAAAUUAUUAUGGAGUUUUAUGCAAGGAAGCAUGUGAUUGUCAUCUUGAAGAAAAGUGUGACUUCAAACAUGGCUGUAUAUCAGAACCGUUUGAUUCAUCAUUUGCACUCUCGACUUAUCACACAGUCCUUGUAUUAGCUGCAUUGUUGAUCAUCGUCUGUUUUGUGAUAUGUGUGCCAGCUCGUUGUAUCAAAAGACACAAAGUAAGAAAUCUUAACGAAUAUCUACAUGUUUAUCCUUCACAUUCUUUGGGCAAGAAAACAACUGGAUUUUCAGAAACAAUACAAGACAACUACACUCAACUAAAGAAAGAAACAUUUACUUUAUAGUAGACAUUUCAUUUUGCUUCAUGAAGGUUUAAAAAGAGAUGCCGAUAAAGGAAUAUUCAUAUUGUAAGUAAAGUGAAUGCUACGCUGUCGAUAUUUGUUCAAUCAUCAUGUAAUGGUACAUUUAUCAUAGAUGUACGAAAGUAGAGAAAUGAAUUACUGCAUUACGGUAUUAUGUACUAUUGCGUAAUAAAUCUGUUCAUUUAUUAUAUCAUGACAAUGUUAACAAAACUGAUGGCCUUGUUGAUCGCCCUGAUAAAACUCUUUUAGAACUUUUUUAGAACAUUAAUUUUAAUUUGAUUCUCCAUUUUGCUAUCAUUAAUUCAUACUUUUCCUGAAUUGAGACAACAUGAGGAUGAUUCCUUAUGUUUUAACUUUUCUGGCCAACUAGCUUUUAAGAAAAGACCUUUAAGAGUUUUUCAUUUUAAUGUUUAUGUUAAUGACCCUAU